rnacentral:rRNA from 1 species
UACGGAGGGUGCAAGCGUUAUCCGGAUUUACUGGGUUAAAGGGUGCGCAGGCGGAUAUGUAAGUCAGUGGUGAAAUCUCUAGGCUUAACCUGGAAAUUGCCGUUGAUACUAUAUAUCUUGAAUGCUGUGGAGGUAAGCGGAAUAUGUCAUGUAGCGGUGAAAUGCUUAGAUAUGACAUAGAACACCUAUUGCGAAGGCAGCUUACUACGCAGUAUUGACGCUCAUGCACGAAAGCGUGGGGAUC